rnacentral:rRNA from 1 species
UCGCCCUGUUUUACCAAAAAACAUCGCCCUCUUGUUACACAUAAGAGGUCCAGCCUGCCCCGGUGACAAAGUUUAACGGCCGCGGUACCCUGACCGUGCGAAGGUAGCAUAAUCACUUGUUCUUUAAAUAGGGACUAGUAUCAACGGCAUCACGAGGGCUAAACUGUCUCCUUUUCUUGAUCUAUGAAACUAACCUCCCCGUGAAGAGGCGGGGAUAUAAUUAUAAGACGAGAAGACCCCAUGGAGCUUUAAACUAAAUAGACAACUUUUGUAAAUAAAACCACCUAAUUUUAAAAUCCUCUCUAUUAGUUUUAGGUUGGGGUGACCGCGGAGUAUAACCAAACCUCCACAACGAACAGGACACUAACCUUAUCUAAGAGCUACAGCUCCAAGAAUCAAAAAAUUGACGUAAAAUGACCCGACAUUCGAUUAAUGAAACAAGUUACCCUGGGGAUAACAGCGCAAUCUACUUCAAGAGCCCAUAUCGACAAGUAGGCUUACGACCUCGAUGUUGGAUCAGGAUAUCCUAGUGGUGCAGCCGCUACUAAAGGUUCGUUUGUUCAACGAUUAAAAUCCUACGUGAUCUGAGUUCAGAC